rnacentral:miRNA from 1 species
CUAUUCUACAACUCUGACCAUU